AGUGAACGCUGGCGGCAGGCCUAACACAUGCAAGUCGAACGAACACACAGUAAGAGUUUGCCCUUAAGGGUGGCGACUGACGGACGAGUGAGACAUGCAUCGCCAUCUUCUUUUUCGUGGGGGAUAUCGUAGGAACACUGACGCUACUACAGCAUAUAACGUACGGCUGAGAGCAGGAGAUCUUCACGCCUUGCGCGUCUGAAUGAGCUGAUGUCGGAUUAGCUAGUUGGUGUGGUAAAGGCACACCAAGGCAACGAUCCGUAGCUGAUCUGAGAGGAUGAUCGGCCACACUGGAACUGAGACACGGUCCAGACUCCUACGGGAGGCAGCAGUAGGGAAUAUUGCGCAAUGGGCGAAAGCCUGACGGAGCAACGCCGCGUGAGUGAUGAAGGUCUUCGGAUCGUAAAACUCUGUUAUUAGGGAAGAAAAAAUGUGUAAGUAAACAUGCAUGUUCUGACGGUACCUAAUGAGAAAGCAACGGCUAACUUCGUG
rnacentral:rRNA from 1 species